AUAGGGACUAGUAUCAACGGCACCACGAGGGCUACACUGUCUCCUCCCCCUAAUCAGUGAAACUGAUCUCCCCGUGAAGAAGCGGGGAUACAACUAUAAGACGAGAAGACCCCAUGGAGCUUUAAGCUCAUCAACACCUCUGCACCCAAAUAUCCUCAUAAACCCAGAGCCCUGUUCGUUAGCUUUAGGUUGGGGUGACCGCGGAGUAUAAUAUAGCCUCCACGAUGAAUGGGAUUAAACCCCUAAUCCAAGAGCCACUGCUCUAAGAAUCAUAAAAUUGACAUAAAAUGAUCCGAUUUUCGAUCAACGAACCAAGUUACCCUGGGGAUAACAGCGCAAUCCAUUUCAAGAGCCCCUAUCGACAAAUGGGUUUACGACCUCGAUGUUGGAUCAGGGUAUCCUAGUGGUGCAGCCGCUACUAAU
rnacentral:rRNA from 1 species